UCCCUGAUAGCUCAGUUGGCAAAGAAUCUGCCUGCAAUGCAGGAGACCCUGGUUCAAUCCUGGGUUGGGAAG
rfam:TPA: Bos taurus chromosome 4, whole genome shotgun sequence.